CGAACGCUGGCGGCGUGCUUAACACAUGCAAGUCGAACGCUGAAGCACCAGCUUGCUGGUGUGGAUGAGUGGCGAACGGGUGAGUAAUACGUGAGUAACCUGCCCUUGACUCUGGGAUAAGCCCGGGAAACUGGGUCUAAUACUGGAUGCUACAUGUCACCGCAUGGUGGUGUGUGGAAAGGGUUUACUGGUCUUGGAUGGGCUCACGGCCUAUCAGCUUGUUGGUGAGGUAAUGGCUCACCAAGGCGACGACGGGUAGCCGGCCUGAGAGGGUGACCGGCCACACUGGGACUGAGACACGGCCCAGACUCCUACGGGAGGCAGCAGUGGGGAAUAUUGCACAAUGGGCGAAAGCCUGAUGCAGCGACGCCGCGUGAGGGAUGACGGCCUUCGGGUUGUAAACCUCUUUCAGCAGGGAAGAAGCCACAAGUGACAGUACCUGCAGAAGAAGCGCCGGCUAACUACGUG
rnacentral:rRNA from 1 species